UUAUAUUUCCAGGUCUGAAGGCGCAUCACUGAAAUGUAGACCUCCUCAAGUGUAAUAUUGUGAUUAUACAACAAUGGUUGCCAACAAAAUAAGUGAUCAAUUUGUAUUCGUAUUGUGGAGCAAUUUGCUCUUGAAAUAUAAAAAAU